GGCGCAGCCUGAUCCAGCCAUGCCGCGUGCAGGAUGAAGGCCUUCGGGUUGUAAACUGCUUUUGUACGGAACGAAAAGGUGCCUUCUAAUAAAGGGCGCUCAUGACGGUACCGUAAGAAUAAGCACCGGCUAACUACGUGCCAGCAGCCGCGGUAA
rnacentral:rRNA from 1 species